rnacentral:rRNA from 1 species
UAACGGAGGGUUAGGGCUCGACCCCGGAGAAGGAGCCUGAGAAACGGCUACUACAUCCAAGGAAGGCAGCAGGCGCGCAAAUUACCCAAUCCCGACACGGGGAGGUAGUGACAAUAAAUACUGAUACAGGGCUCUUUUGGGUCUUGUAAUCGGAAUGAGUACAAUUUAAAUCCCUUAACGAGGAACAAUUGGAGGGCAAGUCUGGUGCCAGCAGCCGCGGUAAUUCCAGCUCCAAUAGCGUAUAUUAAAGUUGUUGUGGUUAAAAAGCUCGUAGUUGAACCUUGGGCCUGGCUGGCCGGUCCCCCUCACCGGGUGCACUGAUCCAGCCGGGCCUUUCCCUCUGUGGAACCCCAUGGCCUUCACUGGCUGUGGCGGGGAAACAGGACUUUUACUUUGAAAAAAUUAGAGUGCUCCAGGCAGGCCUAUGCUCGAAUACAUUAGCAUGGAAUAAUAGAAUAGGACGUGUGGUUCUAUUU